GACGAACGCUGGCGGCGUGCUUAACACAUGCAAGUCGAACGGAGUGGCGAACGGGUGAGUAACACGUGGUUGACCGUCCCUGCACUUCGGGAUAAGCCUGGGAAACUGGGUCUAAUACCGGAUAGUGUGGGAUGGGCCCGCGGCCUAUCAGCUUGUUGGCGGGGUAAUGGACUACCAAGGCGGCGACGGGUAGCCGGCCUGAGAGGGUGGACGGCCACAUUGGGACUGAGACACGGUCCGGACUCCUACGGGAGGCAGCAGUGGGAAAUUUUGCGCGAUGGGCGGAAGCCGGAUGCAGCGACGCCGCGUGGGGGAUGACGGCCUUCGAGUUGUAAACUCCUUUCACCAUCGACGCGGUAGAUGGAGAAGAAGGACCGGCUAACUACGUGCCAGCAGCCGCGGUAAUUC
rnacentral:rRNA from 1 species